GGCGUAGUCGGUUAACGCGUUCGGCUGUUAAGCGAAAGUUUGAUGGUUCAAGCCCACC
rnacentral:tRNA from 1 species